CCCUGAAGGGAAGAACAGUAUGCAGCCGUGAGGCGGCUGCUGAAAACGCUUCCGAGGAACUUCACUGUCCCCUGGAGGAACCAAACUUCUGCUGAGGAGAGGCAAACCUGGCUUUCUCACUCUCGCCUGGAAGGCUGUUCCCUGUCCCAACUGUCACCUGCUUGAAGUAGCCGUUCUUGGUCACCUGUGCCCAAAGAGGAGCCACUGCCAUCUGCCUUUAACAGAUGCCCAAAUGGAGGCCCAUGGAGGUUCAGUGAUGUGCUCAAGCGAGUUAGCAGUCAAACUAAUAAACCUGUUUGGUCACUAUGCUUUAA